ACCCUUUAAUGUUUGAUGUUCUAACGUGGACCCGUAAUCCGGGUUGCGGACAGUGUCUGGUGGGUAGUUUGACUGGGGCGGUCUCCUCCUAAAGAGUAACGGAGGAGCACGAAGGUUGGCUAAUCCUGGUCGGACAUCAGGAGGUUAGUGCAAUGGCAUAAGCCAGCUUGACUGCGAGCGUGACGGCGCGAGCAGGUGCGAAAGCAGGUCAUAGUGAUCCGGUGGUUCUGAAUGGAAGGGCCAUCGCUCAACGGAUAAAAGGUACUCCGGGGAUAACAGGCUGAUACCGCCCAAGAGUUCAUAUCGACGGCGGUGUUUGGCACCUCGAUGUCGGCUCAUCACAUCCUGGGGCUGAAGUAGGUCCCAAGGGUAUGGCUGUUCGCCAUUUAAAGUGGUACGCGAGCUGGGUUUAGAACGUCGUGAGACAGUUCGGUCCCUAUCUGCCGUGGGCGCUGGAGAACUGAGGGGGGCUGCUCCUAGUACGAGAGGACCGGAGUGGACGCAUCACUGGUGUUCGGGUUGUCAUGCCAAUGGCACUGCCCGGUAGCUAAAUGCGGAAGAGAUAAGUGCUGAAAGCAUCUAAGCACGAAACUUGCCCCGAGAUGAGUUCUCCCUGAGACUUAGAGUCUCCUGAAGGAACGUUGAAGACGACGACGUUGAUAGGCCGGGUGUGUAAGCGCAGCGAUGCGUUGAGCUAACCGGUACUAAUGAACCGUGAGG
rnacentral:rRNA from 5 species